UUUGUGUAGAACACCUUGAAACUUGGUAUAGAGUUUGUUCUUUGGUAUAGAUAAAUAUAAUAUACCUAUCGGAGAUAACAAUACAAUAUAGUGAUAAACUGGUAACUGAUAAUGAUAAUAAUGGAUAUAAAUUAUUAUUUUAAAUAAAAAACCGACACUAAAAGUGAACACAAAUAGUAAAUACACAAUAAAAAACAAAAAAUUAUAUUCUAAGAUUCUUGAAACAGUACCUGAUCGCCUACACUACAAUUUAAAACAUUAUUUCUUCGACAUUCGCCAGUCGAACAACGUAUGAGCAACCACGAAUGGUGAAUGGUUGUUGUCAAAUAAAUAAAUGAGGUGUAUUUAAUACUUACGUGAAUUGAUUCCGUAACAAGAUAUCGGACUAUCGAAGCAUGUAGCAACAUCUCGAAAACCUCGGACCAGCUUGAUAAAUACCAACACCAUUUACAUUUUACAGAGACACCCAGCAAUUACCACAAUAACCACUACAGCUGCAUGUUUUACACGCAGGAUAAUCCAAACAGCAGUAAAGUAGUAAUCAAGGAAAAUAUACGUCGAGCAGUGCCCAUCAAUAAGAACGAAAGCCAUCAGACAAAGAAUCGCAAUAUGGUGGAAAACGAAAUCGAGCCAAUAAGCAGAAUAUUAUUUUAAAUUUUUGAUACAUAAUCCGUAAGAUUAACUCAAACCACUUUAUUGCCCUAUUAGAUUUUGCUAGAGCCAAAAAACCUCGCUUAAUAUCAUAAAAAACAGUGAUAGGAACUUCCAGGUUUCUUUAAUAAAUCAUUCAAUAUUGGUCUCAAACACUUAAGACUAUUUUCAAUAGUUUUGAAAUAAAAUUGUUCCUAACUAUGUUAUAACUUAAUAGAUACUAAGUUUAUACAGGAAUUUAAAAAUUGAAAUAAAAAUGUAUACUAUAAAUAACUAAGAAAAUUCACAAUAUCAAUCUUCUGAUUUUUCUUAAUAUAGCACAGAACUCAUCUCAAACAAUUGAAGUAAUAGCUAUUUAAAUCACAAUAUAAUGCAGAUGAGGGAUGAUAUUACCUCAUACUUAAUAUGAUGAUAUGAAUCGUUAAAAAUUGAAAAUCUUCAUAAUUCAUUAAAAUAUUGUGUAAUUAUACUGUUAUAAUUUGUAUUCUGCUAAUGAAAGACUAAGUAUCCAUCAUACCCAUUUAGAUCUUUUAACAUUUAAAUAAGAUAUAAAUGGACACUGAAUAUAAUAUAGCUGCAUUAAUUAU